rnacentral:rRNA from 1 species
GACGAACGCUGGCGGCGUGCCUAAUACAUGCAAGUCGAGCGGAGUUAGAGAAGCUUGCUUCUCUAACUUAGCGGCGGACGGGUGAGUAACACGUGGGCAAUCUGCCCGUAAGACUGGGAUAACUCCGGGAAACCGGGGCUAAUACCGGAUAAUCCUGACUCUCUCCUGAGAGUCAGUUGAAAGAUGGUUUCGGCUAUCACUUACGGAUGAGCCCGCGACGCAUUAGCUAGUUGGUAGGGUAAUGGCCUACCAAGGCGACGAUGCGUAGCCGACCUGAGAGGGUGAUCGGCCACACUGGGACUGAGACACGGCCCAGACUCCUACGGGAGGCAGCAGUAGGGAAUCUUCCGCAAUGGACGAAAGUCUGACGGAGCAACGCCGCGUGAGUGAAGAAGGUUUUCGGAUCGUAAAACUCUGUUGUUAGGGAAGAACACGUACGAGAGUAACUGCUCGUACCUUGACGGUACCUAACCAGAAAGCCACGGCUAACUACGUG